AGAACUUCAUUCUGUAAAUGAGUAGAUGGUUUCCCAAUAGAAUUUUUUAAUUUUUUCUGGAAAGAUCUUCAUAUUUGGGUUUGUAG